rnacentral:rRNA from 1 species
AUUGAACGCUGGCGGCAGGCCUAACACAUGCAAGUCGAGCGAGCGGCGGACGGGUGAGUAAUGUAUGGGGACUGCCCGAUAGAGGGGGAUAACUACUGGAAACGGUAGCUAAUACCGCAUACUAUCGGAUAACCCAUAUGGGAUUAGCUAGUAGGUGAGGUAAUGGCUCACCUAGGCGACGAUCCGUAGCUGGUUUGAGAGGACGACCAGCCACACUGGGACUGAGACACGGCCCAGAUUCCUACGGAGGCAGCAGUGGGGAAUUUUGGACAAUGGGGGAAACCAUGAUGCAGCCAGCCCGCGUGUAGGAUGAAGGCCUUCGGGUUGUAAAGUACGUUUGGCGGGGAGGCGGUAUCGGCAGAAUAAGCACCGGCUAACUACGUGCCAGCAGCCGCGGUAAUAC